UAAAGGUGACAGUCUGUUUCUACAGAG
rnacentral:piRNA from 1 species